UCCUCUGUGGUAACCUCUACCACCAGUUCUAUAAAUCAGUUAUAUUAAUUAAACACUUAUAUUAAUCAUUUAUAUUACCGUUUUUCCCCAUUUUUUACACACAACAAUUGGAACUUGAAAUCACCGAAACCUGAAACGCAUGGACCAAAUCCCUAAACCAAGUCUGCAAAAUUGUAAGCACAAUUCCUGCUUUUACACUCAGUUUUUAAUUUUAUAUCACACUUUUUGCAAAACACUACACAGAGUUCUCUACAUUAGGCAUUCACAGUUAAAAUCUCUUUAGUCCCUUUGGAAAGCAACGCCAAUCACAAUGCCAAGCGCUAUACACCAAUUGGCAACACCCACUCCUCACUGGUGCAAACACUAGUUGCUGAAUUGUUCACUUAGAAAUCAGAGCUUUAGCACUAUAAAAGGCUACAGAUGAGCUCUCUUGUUUUGGAGGAAAAUGGAAGUCAAUGGUGAAGCAAGAGCUAUAGGUGAAGGAGCGAGAGUAAGAGAAGGAUGAGGAAGGACAGUUGUCUCCGAUGAGAUCAGGGCCACAUUGGUUGACCAUGUGCUCAACCAUGGAUUGAGUAUGAGGGAGGCUGGGCAGAGAGUUCAGCCAAACCUGAGCUGCUACACAGUUGCAUCUAUCAUCCGUACAUUCAGAAAUGACAGCCGAACUGAGAGACGGCCAGGCCAUUGUGGAAGACACCGGCUGUUCACACCAGUACAGGAGACAGCCAGGCCAUUGUGGAAGACACCGGCUGUUCACACCAGUACAGGAGACAGCCAGGCCAUGGUGGAAGACAGCGGCUGUUCACACCAGUAUAGGACACCGCUAUUGUGAACAAGGUGGUGGCAUACAAUAGCAUUAGACUACAAGAAAUCCAGAACCACAUAAUUGCAGACACAAUAUUCAAUAACAUUCACCAGGUGGGCUUGUCUACAUUGGACCGUGUAUUACAGAGCAACUGAAUCCAGAUGAAACAGGUCUACAAGGUGCAUUUGAACGAAAGUCAGAGAGGGUUAAAGAACAGUGUUACGAAUAUGUGCAAAGAGUCGUGGAGCUGGAUGCCGCUGCAAUUCAGCACGUUUAUAUUUACAUUGAUGAGGCAGGCUUCAACCUAUCCAACAAAAAUGGAAUGGGGACGGAACAUUUUUGACCACCGUGCCAUUGUGAAUGUCCAUGGACAGUGUGGAGGGAAUAUCACCAGCCAGC